CCUACGGGAGGCAGCAGUGGGGAAUAUUGGACAAUGGGCGAAAGCCUGAUCCAGCAAUGCCGCGUGAGUGAUGAAGGCCUUAGGGUUGUAAAGCUCUUUUACCAGGGAUGAUAAUGACAGUACCUGGAGAAUAAGCUCCGGCUAACUCCGUGCCAGCAGCCGCGGUAA
rnacentral:rRNA from 1 species